AUUGAACGCUGGCCGCAUGCCUUACACAUGCAAGUCGAACGGCAGCAUGGAGAGCUUGCUCUCUGAUGGCGAGUGGCGAACGGGUGAGUAAUGCAUCGGAACGUACCGUGUAAUGGGGGAUAACGUAGCGAAAGUUACGCUAAUACCGCAUACGACCUGAGGGUGAAAGCAGGGGAUCGCAAGAUCUUGCGUUAUACGAACGGCCGAUGUCAGAUUAGCUAGUUGGUGAGGUAAAGGCUCACCAAGGCGACGAUCUGUAGCGGGUCUGAGAGGAUGAUCCGCCACACUGGGACUGAGACACGGCCCAGACUCCUACGGGAGGCAGCAGUGGGGAAUUUUGGACAAUGGGGGCAACCCUGAUCCAGCCAUGCCGCGUGAGUGAAGAAGGCCUUCGGGUUGUAAAGCUCUUUCGGCCGGGAAGAAAUCGCACAGGCUAAUACCCUGUGUGGAUGACGGUACCGGCAUAAGAAGCACCGGCUAACUACGUGCCAGCCGCCGCAGUAA
rnacentral:rRNA from 1 species